rnacentral:rRNA from 1 species
ACAAGCAGCGGAGCGUGUGGUUUAAUUCGUUGCUACACGAAGAACCUUACCUGGGUUUGACAUAUAGGUUGUAGGGAACUGAAAAGGACCGACCUUCGGGGAGCCUAUACAGGUGUUGCAUGGCUGUCGUCAGCUCGUGUCGUGAGAUGUUCGGUUAAGUCCGCUAACGAGCGCAACCCUCGUCGUAUGUUAUAUGUGUCAUACGAGACUGCCGGUAAAAAGCCGGAGGAAGGUGAGGAUGAUGUCAAGUCAGCAUGACCUUUAUAUCCAGGGCUACACACACGCUACAAUGGCUGGUACAAAGGGUUGCCAACCCGCGAGGGGGAGCCAAUCCCAUAAAGCCAGUCGUAGUCCGGAUCGCAGUCUGCAACUCGACUGCGUGAAGUCGGAAUCGCUAGUAAUCGUGGAUCAGCAUGUCACGGUGAAUACGUUCCCGGGUCUU